UUCGGGAUGCCGGCGAGUGGCAAACGGGUGAGUAACGCGUGGAUACCCGUCCUAUGGUGGGGAAUAACGUUUAGAAAUGAACGCUAAUACCGCAUAAGCCCUACGGGGGAAAGAUUUAUCGCCAUAGGAGGGGUCUGCGUCGGAUUAGCUAGUUGGUGGGGUAAAGGCCUACCAAGGCGACGAUCCGUAGCUGGUCUGAGAGGAUGAUCAGCCACACUGGGACUGAGACACGGCCCAGACUCCUACGGGAGGCAGCAGUGGGGAAUAUUGCGCAAUGGGGGAAACCCUGACGCAGCGACGCCGCGUGGGUGAAGAAGGCCUUAGGGUUGUAAAGCCCUUUCAGCAGGAAAGAUUGUGACGGUACCUGCAGAAGAAGCUCCGGCUAACUCCGUGCCAGCAGCCGCGGUAAUACGGAGGGAGCUAGCGUUGUUCGGAAUUACUGGGCGUAAAGGGCGCGUAGGCGGUUUGACAAG
rnacentral:rRNA from 1 species